CCGAAAAAGUCAAAGUUGUACUUUAACCUCAACAACAACAUAACAUAGCAAUAUUAAUAUUUAAUCAUUUUCAUCGAUCUUUCUUUCCGUUUUGUUACAUUUUUUGCUUAUCACGGUUCCUUUAUAAACUCUCGUACCUUAAUCUAAUGAAAGCUAUUUAAUUAUAUCUACCAAAUAAAUUAAAGGAGGAAGAAAAUCAAACUAGACUAGGCCUACCUCCAAGUAUUUCUAUUCUAGGCUAUUGGUAUUUUGAAGUUUUCUGACAAGAAGUAAUUUAGGUUCAAGGUAAUGGCCAGGGUGCUUGUUGGCGUUAAACGAGUGAUCGAUUAUGCUGUUAAGAUCCGAGUAAAGCCAGAUAAGAGUGGGGUGGUGACGGAUGGGGUGAAGCACUCCAUGAACCCCUUUGAUGAGAUAGCUGUUGAAGAGGCUGUGCGUAUGAAGGAGAAGAAAAUUGCCUCAGAAGUAAUAGCUGUGUCAUGUGGUCCAGCACAGGCUCAGGAAACACUGAGAACAGCUCUGGCAAUGGGGGUGGAUCGUGGUAUCCAUGUGGAGGUGACUGGUCCUGAGUAUGAAACACUUCAGCCCAUUCACGUGUCCAAGAUAUUGGCAAAGCUUGCACAGGAUGAAAAGGCAGACAUUGUCAUUGUAGGAAAACAGGCAAUUGAUGAUGAUUCAAAUCAGACAGCACAAAUGACAGCUGCUCACAUGGAUUGGCCCCAAGGAACUUUCGCUUCCAAGGUGGAGAAAACAAAUGGAGAUGUGACAAUAACUAGAGAAAUUGAUGGAGGACUGGAAACUAUCAAAAUAAAACUUCCAGCUGUCAUCAGCGCCGAUCUACGUCUCAAUGAGCCUCGAUAUGCAACAUUGCCUAACAUCAUGAAAGCCAAGAAGAAGCCUAUAAAGAAGGUAACAGCGAAGGAGCUGGGGGUGGACACGGGGGCCAGGAUAGAGGUGGUCAGUGUGGAGGAUCCUCCUGUGAGACAGGCUGGCUCUGUACUGCCUGACGUGGACACUCUGGUCACCAAGCUCAAAGAGGGCGGACAUGUAUAAACAGCCGCUGCCAGUUGCACAACGUCCAAUAGCUCAGCGCUGUCCCACGACGUCCAGAGCGCCUGCACACUAUCAAAAGUAAUGUGGUACUGCUGGUGGUUGAAGAUGCCAACUUUAAUAACAUUUUUUAAUAUUUAUUAGAAACUAUGACAUUUCAUUGUAAACUAAUAAAAUGUGUCAUUGAUAUAUAUUUUUGUUGUUAUAUUGUAUUUAUACUGGAAGUAAAAUGGUACUUGUUAUUA